GACAGAGGGUGCAAACGUUGUUCGGAAUUACUGGGCGUAAAGCGCGUGUAGGCUGCUCGGAAAGUCGGAUGUGAAAGCCCUGGGCUCAACCUAGGAAGUGCAUUCGAAACUUCCGAGCUAGAGUUCUGGAGAGGAAGGCGGAAUUCUCGGUGUAGAGGUGAAAUUCGUAGAUAUCAAGCGGAACACCGGUGGCGAAGGCGGCCUUCUGGACAGUAACUGACGCUGAGACGCGAAAGCGUGGGGAGCAAACAGG
rnacentral:rRNA from 1 species